rnacentral:rRNA from 1 species
ACUUAAAUUGAAGAGUUUGAUCAUGGCUCAGAUUGAACGCUGGCGGCAGGCCUAACACAUGCAAGUCGAACGGUAACAGGAAGCAGCUUGCUGCUUCGCUGACGAGUGGCGGACGGGUGAGUAAUGUCUGGGAAACUGCCUGAUGGAGGGGGAUAACUACUGGAAACGGUGGCUAAUACCGCAUAACGUCGCAAGACCAAAGAGGGGGACCUUCGGGCCUCUUGCCAUCAGAUGUGCCCAGAUGGGAUUAGCUGGUAGGUGGGGUAACGGCUCACCUAGGCGACGAUCCCUAGCUGGUCUGAGAGGAUGACCAGCCACACUGGAACUGAGACACGGUCCAGACU